UUACGGGGGGCUGCAGUGAGGAAUAUUGCACAAUGGGGGGAACCCUGAUGCAGCAACGCCGCGUGGAGGAUGACGUAUUUCGGUGUGUAAACUCCUUUUAUAUGUCAAGAAAAUGACGGUAGCAUAUGAAUAAGCACCGGCUAACUCCGUGCCAGCAGCCGCGGUAAUACGGAGGGUGCAAGCGUUACUCGGAAUCACUGGGCGUAAAGGACGCGUAGGCGGGUUGGAAAGUCAGGUGUGAAAUCCUACAGCUUAACUGUAGAACUGCACUUGAAACUUCUAAUCUAGAGUAUGGGAGGGGGAGAUGGAAUUAGUGGUGUAGGGGUAAAAUCCGUAGAUAUCACUAGGAAUACCUAAAGCGAAGGCGAUCUCCUGGAACAUUACUGACGCUAAGGCGUGAAAGCGUGGGGAGCAAACAGGAUUAGAUACCCGGGUAGUC
rnacentral:rRNA from 1 species